CUCACCAUAGCUCAGUUGGUAGAGCGUCGGACUGUAACUGAUACCCAAUCCAAGGUUCUUAUGGCCGCCCAACCGGGCGAGUAAUCCGCAGGUCCUGUGUUCGACUCACAGUGGUGAGA
rfam:Trichosporon asahii var. asahii CBS 8904 unplaced genomic scaffold scaffold00035, whole genome shotgun sequence.